GAUCAACAGAAUACAUGCUUAUUAAAACAAAUCAUAGGCAGCAAGCCAUGUUUGGGUGCAGUUAGGAGCUGUUACUUUGUGGUCUGAAGAAAAGUUGUAUGUUUAAAUCUGUGCAGGACCCAGCAUAUCUCCACUGAGGUCUCUUAACUGAGCCAAUCCUUCUUCCCCACCCUCUGAGGAAAUGACAUCUUCACACAGAGGUGCGACAGGUUGAGGCUGGUAUGAAAUAAUGCGAGUGAUAUAUGUCACCAAGAGACAGGGUUAAAUAUGUUUCCUGGCUUUCUUUAUGUCAAAGCAUCCUUUGUAUGAACAAGCCAAAGAAGAAAGAACUAAUCAGCACUGAAGACCAGAGAGCAAGGAAAUUAUUCAGCGCUCAAAGAAAUUCACCCUAGGCACACAUCAAAUUGCAUCUCACAUGCAGAAGAGAUUGGUGAACUCCAAUAGGUUCAGGAUAAGCACCUGACGUUCAGAUGCUUAUAUCUGAACUUUAUCUGAAUGAUCCAGAUUUCUUAGUUACAAAAUACAAGGCUGGGAAUUGCUAUUAUUGUUGUUGUUAUUAUUAUUGUUAUUACUUUCUAAAGCUCACAAAGCACUGUUAUAUGAAGUUUAGAAAUGCCCCUGUUUAGGAUGAAAUAACAUCAAUAUAUUACUCUAGGAAAGAAUACAUUUUUAAAUUUUAACAGUUAUGAGAUAUAUAUAUAUAUUUAAAACCUUUCAUAGACUGUCACAGCAUUUUUGUGUUUUUGCAAUUCUGCCAUUCAGAAGUAAAAAGGUGGCUUCAUAGUCCCAAAUAUCACUAUCUUUUCAUUUUUUUCUAAGACUAUAUUUAGAUUUAUAUAUAUAUAUAAAGGAGCACAUUUAAAGCCCAUAAAGGAUCUGUAAAAUAAAAUUACUAUCAGCUGAAAGGCCCUCUUUGCCUUCAACAAUAUCUGACAAACGACUUCUCUUUUCCUUCAGGGGGUUUUGGUAACACUUAAGGAGAAAUCUGAGCAGUUCACUUUGGCAGGGGAAAGAAACUCAAUGGCACAGGCUCUGUGAAGUUUGAGCUUUAAACAAGUGUGGCACCAGCCAGGGAAAGAACAAUGGAGAGUGCGUGAACAACACAAACUGGGCUAGAAAAAUGUAGCCUCAGUUCUUUUCUUCUCCCUUGCAGGAACCGCGACUCAAAGUCAGGUCCUGUUUGCUGGUACAGUGGGUGAGAAGGGAAAGUGGUUUCAAACACACAGUGCCCUGGGCUCUCAGCACCGCUGAUCAAAAUGGUCUCUGAGCUCCUUGGCUUCGGUGGAUUUCAAUAAUCUGCAUCCAUGGGCUACCCUGUUCCCCUUCUAUUUCUGUAGACGUGACAAAGUCACUGGUCAAUAGGUUGGCUUUCUAUCGCAUGGUUCUGUUCUGGGCUUUUUUUUUCCUCCUGGCACCACAUCAGACUCAGGAAUUUUCUGUAUUCCCAUUUUCAGCAGAUGAUGUGAGUUGCCCUCAAACAGAAAUGGUUGAUUCAUCUUUCUCUCCCUCUCUUCUCUGACAUAAGGGAGAAGACCAGUUCAGGCUGCCACAAUGAAAUACCAUAGACUGGGUGGCUUCAACAACCAAAGUGUACUCCUCACAGGUCUGGAGGCUGGGAAGUCCAAGAUCAAGGAGCCAGCAUGGUUGAGUCUGAGCGACCUCACAGGGAAUUUGCAUACUUCACUUCUGACACUAGCCACAUGUAUCUGCUGGAGCUGCACCCCACUCUUUCUCUUUGCACCUACAAAAUUGGAAGUAAUACACUCGGAUGUUUGAAAUCUGAAACUC